rnacentral:rRNA from 1 species
UACAGAGGUCUCGAGCGUUGUUCGGAUUCAUUGGGCGUAAAGGGUGCGUAGGUGGCUAGGUAAGUCGGAUGUGAAAUCCCGGGGCUCAACCCCGGAACUGCAUUCGAUACUGCUUGGCUUGGAGUACUGGAGAGGAGAUUGGAAUUUACGGUGUAGCAGUGAAAUGCGUAGAUAUCGUAAGGAAGACCAGUGGCGAAGGCGGAUCUCUGGACAGUUACUGACACUGAGGCACGAAGGCCAGGGGAGCAAACGGG